GUGAAUCAUCAAAUUUUUGAACGCAAAUUGCGCUUCCUAGGAUCCCGGGAAGUAUGCCUGUUUGAGGGUCAGUAUUAACAAAAAAAUCGGUUUGGUUGCAAAUUGUGACGUUUCCGGAGUUUGGGUUAUCUUAACUUUUUCGGUUAAGGGGCUUAAAAUGGACCUUUCUUGCGCAUUUUUAGACGAACAUAACUUUUUUUUUUAUUCGUCUAUUUCUAAUGCUAA
rnacentral:misc_RNA from 1 species